rnacentral:snoRNA from 10 species
AUUGCACCUAAACCCAAGAAUCACUGUUUCUUAUAGCGGUGGUUUAAACAGAGGUGCAAACAGCAAGCGGAUCUUGUCGCCUUUGGGGGGCUGUGGCCGUGCCCCUCAAAGUGAAUUUGGAGGUUCCACAACU